UGGGUCAAGAACGUAAAAGUUACCUGUGCCCGGGGGCACACAGCUCUAGGCCCCGCAUCCCGCCUGACGCAAACUCCCAGGACAGACCCAGCUCCAACCUGCACCCCCCACAAACCCUAAGCGGACGCCUCCUGGAUCCCCGGCCCCAGCACCAGCUAUCAGCCAGUCCUUUCUGCCUCUGAGUUCAAGACUGGGGACAGCCACUGGCCCAGACGACCCCCCUGACCACUCACCUGCUGAGAACUGGCCUUGGACCGACCCCAGGAGAGGCCACGGGGACAGGAGCCAGAGCGCCACAAAAGCAGGCAGCGCCGCCGCCGCCACAUCCAUGGCGAGUUUGGGAGAAGUUUCAAGCAGCUUUGCAAAGAGCCUCCGGGGGAAUCGCGGCGAAAUCCGACAGCCAGCCGCCCGCCCGGCCUCGUGGGGGGCUCGCGGGGACGCCGCGGCCACCCGCCAGCACUUUCGUCCUCGCUCAACGUCGGCCAACUACCUCGCGGGCGAAAGCGUCUCCAGCGUCGCCCGCCAGCCGCGGCCGC
rnacentral:lncRNA from 1 species